rnacentral:rRNA from 1 species
CAGUCGCCGCGGUAAUACAGAGGGUGCAAGCGUUAAUCGGAAUUACUGGGCGUAAAGCGCGCGUAGGUGGUUUGUUAAGUUGGAUGUGAAAUCCCUGAGCUUAACUUAGGAAUUGCAUUCGAUACUGGGAAGCUAGAGUAUGGGAGAGGAUGGUAGAAUUCCAGGUGUAGCGGUGAAAUGCGUAGAGAUCUGGAGGAAUACCGAUGGCGAAGGCAGCCAUCUGGCCUAAUACUGACGCUGAGGUACGAAAGCAUGGGGAGCAAACAGGAUUAGAUACCCCCGUAGUCCCUGUCUCUUAUAC